GUCAUGGAAGGUAUGAAGGAGGUAGCUAUGAUUUCUCACAUGGCUAUGGGGGAUAAUUAUGAUCAUAAUUAUGCUCAAAUGUAAUUAUUGUCUCAUUUUUAUCCUUUUUGUAGUGUAAAGUAUAAAAAUAAAGAUCUAUGAAUAUGUCAGACAAAUUAUAUACAAUGGGUGAUCACUUGGUAAGUAAUUUUUAUACCUUUGUUCUGGUCUGUGUAGAUUGAGGCUAUUUUGGCAAUAGUCAUGCACUUAGACAUAGCAUGACCAGUCCUUAUGUGAACUGCCUAUAUGUCUAUUAAACAUGAUUGAAUACCCAAAUUAGAUUCAAGAUUAUGAUAUGUCCCAGGCAUGGAUCCAGAAAUGACCAUGUACUGAAGUUAUAUGGCAUGAGCCAUGUAAAAUAUGGUGGGAAACAUACAAUCGGGGCUGCAUCCCACCAUAAUGCACUAGUCAAUUGAAACCCCGACCCCCGGGAUAGGGUGGGGAAAUUAACAUUUUGACAAUGUUAAAUUUUGGUAAUUUCCCUGCUACCGGGGGAAUGUUGACUGUUAAAGUUACCGCCCCUAUGGCCCCGGCACUUUGCAAAUUUUCAUGACUUAAUUGGGAAAUUUUCAUGACUUGGGAAUUGUCCCAGCUAAUAAAUUGACUUGUUAUUUACCCUGUACCCCGGGGGAAAUGCUGCAUUAAGACCGUGUUAAUCCAUGGCCAUUCCCCCGUUAAUACCCCGCCCUGUCCCGGGGGUCGGGGGACCGGGGUUUCAAUUGACUAGUGCAUGCAUAAACAUCGCAAAGGUCCAUUUUGUAAAUUAAUGGCACUAUGUAUUUAAUCUUAAUUUAUAGGGCCUGUGAGUUCAUAUCUGGAAUAAAAUAAUGGCAGAUCUACAGAAAUAUCACUGCUAAGGAGUGUCAAACAAGUUCAGAAGGACUGAAUGAACUGGAUGUUCUCAGGAUGAAAAAGAAAUUGUUGACUUUAAUUGAAUAAUCAUUAUCAUUAAUGUAAGGUUAAAAAUAUUGAACUUUCAAAAGGAUGCAGACAGAAAAUUGAAAGUAGGGCCUGAAUUUCAGGUUAAGUGAUCCAGGAAUGGGGUUGGCCCUCUGCAGGCUAAAUCAAUUGAGGGAGAUCCCUUUAUUUCAAUUAAGUUAAAUGAUUAUUUGAAUAAGAUGCCAUUCAGGCAAUAAGGGCCUGGUUAGGUCCAUAUUUUAAUUCAAAUUAUUAAGUACUCGAUUUUUCCAUCAACAAAAUCCAACAUUAAAAUUUCCAUCGAGUGAGAUGCAACAAAACCAUCUAUAGUUUAUUAAUUAUGUUAACCUAAUCCAUCAAUUGGCAAUGAGCCUACUUUAGUAUUUUAUAUACUCUAUCUCUAAUUUGCCCAUUAUAUUUAUAAACUGACAGUUAAUACUAUUACUCUUUCACAUACUAAUAAAAUCAUCUGGGCCCGGUUGUUCGAAGCCCAUGUAAGUCUUUGAACUACCGGCCCCAGAUGAUUUUAUUGGUCUGUGAAAGAUUAAUUAUUAACUGUCAGUUUAUAAAUAUAAUGGGCAAAUAUAUGAUUAUGUACAAAUAAAAUUGCAUGCAUGGUUCAUAAAAUCUCUGUGAUAGACUUGCUCCAACAGAUUCAAAUUCCAUCCUGACAAUACCUAAAUAAUAAUUAUACUACCUUUUUCUAAAAUACUGCCAUGGUUUAAUUACCUGUAUUAUGAACUCAAAAGUCAAAACACUUAACACUAUUUAGAUUUAUAAAUAGUACUGAG